GAAGCUUUGUGUACAUUCUUUGCAAAUACACAGGCAUUCAUCAGAGACACUUCAGCUGCCCCAAAUCACAGUUUUCCUAUGACAACAAACAUGUCAAGAUGUGUGAGUUAUGUGCCAUGCAAAGGAAAAAGGUGCCUGACUAUGAUGGGCCUUGUGCAAUGUCUUGCAAAAGAAGUUACUGUAGGAAUUUGCCCUAAAGGCAACCAGCAACCACCACUUUAAAUCAUAGUGACCACUUUAGACCAGCAAAAAAUUGCUAUUGAUGUCUGCUGAGCUUACACCUAUGGACAUCAGAGGGAACACCACUGCUGAGAAGUUCCUGGUAUGUGUGGGUCUCCUUUCCUCUCCCGUUUAGAUUCUUGGUGAAGCUUAUUCAGCCUCAUGGAGCUCAAGUUUGUUGGGGCCCCAGUUCCUCAGAGAGAAGUGCUGGAAUGGGUCCUUAUGGUCCCUGUGCUCGUAAGUUAGUCAAAAGAUGGAUGACCCUGCCACAAGUCCAGGCUGCUUCUCAACUGUCACUAGUAUUGAGGGAUUUCUUGGUCUUCAAUAAAGUAAAUUAAAAUCAGUUCCAUGGCUUCAGUGGUAAACUUGAAAAACUUAACUAAUUAGUUCCCUACUCCAGGCAUCUCAUGUGCACUCUCUUGUUGUUAACAGGACAGUUCUGAAGAAUUAUAAAAUGUGGAGGUUGACUUUUCUAGGGAUUGUAUUAAAGAGCCUAAUCUCACACCUAAUUUGGAAUCUAUACUAAUUUGUAGAAGAAAAAGAAAAAAAAGACCACAUCUCAAUGUCAAACUGUCACCCUCCAACAUGUUAUUAUUAAAAAUAGAAACAAAAGCAAAUACAUAUAAAAAAAAACUAAGUCGGAUAUGGAAUGCUUUGUUGGUACAAAGCAUUGCCUGUCUGACUCUGUUUGUAUUUAAAGCUACCAAGAAUUUCAGUUACAGUUAAUUCAGCUUGAAGCACAUGGGAGCUUCUUUUGUUUUGUUUUUUCUUCUUCUUCUCCUCAGUAAGAACAACACAGGUUAAGGAAAUGGAACAUGUUAAUCAUUAGAAUAACCCCAGAUCUAAAAUUCUUGAUUUGAUAAUAUUUGGUCAUAAAUACCAAGUUUAAUGGACAGAUUCUAUCCUUCACUAAAAGUACUUCCAUUUGGUGUGAACUGUUCAUAGUGGACUCCUUUCCAAUGCUCUUCACACAGAAGGGCUAUUCACUGGCUGUUGCUACACCCCAAUAGCAGGACAGGGCCGUGACCAUAACAGAGGAAGGAAAAAAGAAAAAAGGUAGAAGAAGCAAAAAAAUAUAACAAUUACAGUUUCAACUGAGAAGGAGCUGUAGUGUUGAAAGGUGUAACUUUCAAGCCCAGAUUGUACUUCUAGUCACAUUUUCUGUAUGUUUUCAAAUAUCUAAGAAACUUAUAUAAUUGAAACAUCCAGCUGUUGAUCUAUCAAUAUGCAAGUGCACAUUAUGUAGGAGAAUAGUAUUUUAGAAGAGUUUUUAUCCUAACUCUUGGUAUCUUUUCAGCAGAAACCAGUUGCCAAGAUAAAGAUAUUGUCCCAAAAGGGCUGUUUCAAAAUUGGUAUUUAUAACACUAUCCAGUGGUUUUGUGAUGGGAUUAAAUAUCCACUGAGUACAAGGUCAAGUCUACAAAAUAAAUUGACUUGUGACCUACUUUGGAUUUCA
ensembl:lncRNA